UGGGGAAUAUUGCACAAUGGGCGCAAGCCUGAUGCAGCCAUGCCGCGUGUGUGAAGAAGGCCUUCGGGUUGUAAAGCACUUUCAGCGAGGAGGAAGGUGGUGAGCUUAAUACGCUCAUCAAUUGACGUUACUCGCAGAAGAAGCACCGGCUAACUCCGUGCCAGCAGCCGCGGUAAUACGGAGGGUGCAAGCGUUAAUCGGAAUUACUGGGCGUAAAGCGCACGCAGGCGGUUUGUUAAGUCAGAUGUGAAAUCCCCGGGCUCAACCUGGGAACUGCAUUUGAAACUGGCAAGCUAGAGUCUCGUAGAGGGGGGUAGAAUUCCAGGUGUAGCGGUGAAAUGCGUAGAGAUCUGGAGGAAUACCGGUGGCGAAGGCGGCCCCCUGGACGAAGACUGACGCUCAGGUGCGAAAGCGUGGGGCAGCAAACAGGAUUAGAUACCCUGGUAGUCCACGCUGUAAACGAUGUCGAUUUUGGAGGUUGUGCCCUUGAGGCGUGGCUUCCGGAGCUAACGCGUUAAAUCGACCGCCUGGGGAGUACGGCCGCAAGGUUAAAACUUAAAUGAAUUGACGGGGUCAUAGCUG
rnacentral:rRNA from 1 species